GGGUUGUGAGGUUAAGCGACUAAGCGUACACGGUGGAUGCCCUGGCAGUCAGAGGCGAUGAAGGGCGUGCUAAUCUGCGAUAAGCGCCGGUAAGGUGAUAUGAACCGUUAUAACCGGCGAUACCCGAAUGGGGAAACCCAGUGUGAUUCGUCACACUAUCAUUAACUGAAUCCAUAGGUUAAUGAGGCGAACCGGGGGAACUGAAACAUCUAAGUACCCCGAGGAAAAGAAAUCAACCGAGAUUCCCCCAGUAGCGGCGAGCGAACGGGGAGGAGCCCAGAGCCUGAAUCAGCAUGUGUGUUAGUGGAAGCGUCUGGAAAGGCGCGCGAUACAGGGUGACAGCCCCGUACACAAAAGCGCAUGUGCUGUGAGCUCGAUGAGUAGGGCGGGACACGUGGUAUCCUGUCUGAAUAUGGGGGGACCAUCCUCCAAGGCUAAAUACUCCUGACUGACCGAUAGUGAACCAGUACCGUGAGGGAAAGGCGAAAAGAACCCCGGCGAGGGGAGUGAAAAAGAACCUGAAACCGUGUACGUACAAGCAGUGGGAGCACAGGUUUACCUGUGUGACUGCGUACCUUUUGUAUAAUGGGUCAGCGACUUAUAUUCUGUAGCAAGGUUAACCGAAUAGGGGAGCCGGAGGGAAACCGAGUCUUAAUUGGGCGUUAAGUUGCAGGGUAUAGACCCGAAACCCGGUGAUCUAGCCAUGGGCAGGUUGAAGGUUGGGUAACACUAACUGGAGGACCGAACCGACUAAUGUUGAAAAAUUAGCGGAUGACCUGUGGCUGGGGGUGAAAGGCCAAUCAAACCGGGAGAUAGCUGGUUCUCCCCGAAAGCUAUUUAGGUAGCGCCUCGUGAAUUCAUCUCCGGGGGUAGAGCACUGUUUCGGCUAGGGGGCCAUCCCGGCUUACCAACCCGAUGCAAACUGCGAAUACCGGAGAAUGUUAUCACGGGAGACACACGGCGGGUGCUAACGUCCGUCGUGAAGAGGGAAACAACCCAGACCGCCAGCUAAGGUCCCAAAGUCAUGGUUAAGUGGGAAACGAUGUGGGAAGGCCCAGACAGCCAGGAUGUUGGCUUAGAAGCAGCCAUCAUUUAAAGAAAGCGUAAUAGCUCACUGGUCGAGUCGGCCUGCGCGGAAGAUGUAACGGGGCUAAACCAUGCACCGAAGCUGCGGCAGCGAACGUAUCACUUAAAGCGAUUCAGCGGGUUACGAUUGACGGAGCGAAGCGACGUCAAAGCGUAUACAAAGUCGAGUCGGUUUAAGGAUACGUUCGUUGGGUAGGGGAGCGUUCUGUAAGCCUGUGAAGGUGGCCUGUGAGGGUUGCUGGAGGUAUCAGAAGUGCGAAUGCUGACAUAAGUAACGAUAAAGCGGGUGAAAAGCCCGCUCGCCGGAAGACCAAGGGUUCCUGUCCAACGUUAAUCGGGGCAGGGUGAGUCGACCCCUAAGGCGAGGCCGAAAGGCGUAGUCGAUGGGAAACGGGUUAAUAUUCCCGUACUUGGUGUUACUGCGAAGGGGGGACGGAGAAGGCUAUGUUGGCCGGGCGACGGUUGUCCCGGUUUAAGCGUGUAGGUGUGUGUUCCAGGUAAAUCCGGUUCACUUUAACACUGAGGCGUGACGACGAGGCACUACGGUGCUGAAGCAACAAAUGCCCUGCUUCCAGGAAAAGCCUCUAAGCAUCAGGUAACAUCAAAUCGUACCCCAAACCGACACAGGUGGUCAGGUAGAGAAUACCAAGGCGCUUGAGAGAACUCGGGUGAAGGAACUAGGCAAAAUGGUGCCGUAACUUCGGGAGAAGGCACGCUGACACGUAGGUGAAGUGAUUUACUCACGGAGCUGAAGUCAGUCGAAGAUACCAGCUGGCUGCAACUGUUUAUUAAAAACACAGCACUGUGCAAACACGAAAGUGGACGUAUACGGUGUGACGCCUGCCCGGUGCCGGAAGGUUAAUUGAUGGGGUCAGCGCAAGCGAAGCUCCUGAUCGAAGCCCCGGUAAACGGCGGCCGUAACUAUAACGGUCCUAAGGUAGCGAAAUUCCUUGUCGGGUAAGUUCCGACCUGCACGAAUGGCGUAAUGAUGGCCAGGCUGUCUCCACCCGAGACUCAGUGAAAUUGAACUCGCUGUGAAGAUGCAGUGUACCCGCGGCAAGACGGAAAGACCCCGUGAACCUUUACUAUAGCUUGACACUGAACAUUGAGCCUUGAUGUGUAGGAUAGGUGGGAGGCUUUGAAGUGUGGACGCCAGUCUGCAUGGAGCCGACCUUGAAAUACCACCCUUUAAUGUUUGAUGUUCUAACGUGGACCCGUAAUCCGGGUUGCGGACAGUGUCUGGUGGGUAGUUUGACUGGGGCGGUCUCCUCCUAAAGAGUAACGGAGGAGCACGAAGGUUGGCUAAUCCUGGUCGGACAUCAGGAGGUUAGUGCAAUGGCAUAAGCCAGCUUGACUGCGAGCGUGACGGCGCGAGCAGGUGCGAAAGCAGGUCAUAGUGAUCCGGUGGUUCUGAAUGGAAGGGCCAUCGCUCAACGGAUAAAAGGUACUCCGGGGAUAACAGGCUGAUACCGCCCAAGAGUUCAUAUCGACGGCGGUGUUUGGCACCUCGAUGUCGGCUCAUCACAUCCUGGGGCUGAAGUAGGUCCCAAGGGUAUGGCUGUUCGCCAUUUAAAGUGGUACGCGAGCUGGGUUUAGAACGUCGUGAGACAGUUCGGUCCCUAUCUGCCGUGGGCGCUGGAGAACUGAGGGGGGCUGCUCCUAGUACGAGAGGACCGGAGUGGACGCAUCACUGGUGUUCGGGUUGUCAUGCCAAUGGCACUGCCCGGUAGCUAAAUGCGGAAGAGAUAAGUGCUGAAAGCAUCUAAGCACGAAACUUGCCCCGAGAUGAGUUCUCCCUGAGACUUUAGGUCUCCUGAAGGAACGUUGAAGACGACGACGUUGAUAGGCCGGGUGUGUAAGCGCAGCGAUGCGUUGAGCUAACCGGUACUAAUGAACCGUGAGGCUUAACCUUACAACGCCGAAG
rnacentral:rRNA from 1 species